ACAGGCUCCCUUAGGGGUCUGAAGUGACAAAGAGGUUGGGUUUGGGGAAAAGAGAAAUGGUCUUUCCUUUAAUAAUCAUUAAUCAGGACAUUUUGCAUGUACAUUCCUUUACAGCUAAAAUGACACAUUCCCAAUUCCUUGCUGUUGUGAUUGGAAGAUGGUGUUCAGCAGCAGGAGAAACUGACCUCCCAGGGGCCUCCGCUCCCUCAGUGGGAGACACCAUCUGUCCCAGAGAAUGCAGCAAUCAAGGUACACCCUUGGAAGUGAGAGACUGGGCCCUAACCUGCCGGCAUCUUGAUCUUGGACUUUGCGGCCUCCAGAACUGAAAUUAAGGCUCUUUAGAGCUAUGACUGGAUAUGGACUGGGGCAGAGAAAGGACGGGUGAACUUGCCUUUCUGGAUGUGCCAAAGGGAAGAAAGUGCUCAAAAAGAACUGAAAUGAAUCAAAAGGACACAGAG
rnacentral:lncRNA from 10 species